rnacentral:rRNA from 1 species
CCUACGGGAGGCAGCAGUGGGGAAUCUUAGACAAUGGGGGCAACCCUGAUCUAGCCAUGCCGCGUGAGUGAUGAAGGCCUUAGGGUCGUAAAGCUCUUUCGCCUGUGAUGAUAAUGACAGUAGCAGGUAAAGAAACCCCGGCUAACUCCGUGCCAGCAGCCGCGGUAAUACGGAGGGGGUUAGCGUUGUUCGGAAUUACUGGGCGUAAAGCGCGCGUAGGCGGAUUAGAAAGUUGGGGGUGAAAUCCCGGGGCUCAACCCCGGAACUGCCUCCAAAACUGCUAGUCUAGAGUUCGAGAGAGGUGAGUGGAAUUCCGAGUGUAGAGGUGAAAUUCGUAGAUAUUCGGAGGAACACCAGUGGCGAAGGCGGCUCACUGGCUCGAUACUGACGCUGAGGUGCGAAAGUGUGGGGAGCAAACAGGAUUAGAUACCCUGGUAGCCCACACCGUAAACGAUGAAUGCCAGUCGUCGGAUAGUAUACUAUUCGGUGACACACCUAACGGAUUAAGCAUUCCGCCUGGGGAGUACGGUCGCAAGAUUAAAACUCAAAGGAAUUGACGG